rnacentral:tRNA from 1 species
GGGUGGGUGGCUCAGUGGUUAGAGCCUAGGACUCGUAAUCAAAAGGUUCCGAAUUCGAACCUCACUAGAACUA